rnacentral:tRNA from 2 species
GGCUCGAAAGGCUCAAGCUAGCGGACUCAUAAUCGCUUGGUCGUUGGUUCAAACCCAACAGGGGCCACCA